UAUUUUUGUUACCAGCGAGUCAUGUCGGGAACUCUAGAAAGACUGCCUGUGUAAACAGUACGGAAGGUGGGGAUGACGUCAAAUCAUCACGGCCCUUACGUCUUGGGCUACAUACGUGCUACAAUGGUAUCUACAACAGGAAGGCAUCUGGCAACAGAGAGCAAAUCCGUAAAGGUGAUCCCAGUUCGGAUCGGAGUCUGCAACUCGACUCCGUGAAGUUGGAUUCGCUAGUAAUCGUAUAUCAGCAAUGAUACGGUGAAUACGCUC
rnacentral:rRNA from 1 species